UACAGAGGGUGCGAGCGUUGUUCGGAAUUAUUGGGCGUAAAGCGCAUGUAGGCGGUCUGUUAAGUCGCGUGUGAAAUCCCCAGGCUCAACCUGGGAAGUGCGCGCGAAACUGGCGGACUUGAGUGCCGGAGAGGGUGGCGGAAUUCCCGGUGUAGAGGUGAAAUUCGUAGAUAUCGGGAGGAACACCAGAGGCGAAGGCGGCCACCUGGACGAACACUGACGCU
rnacentral:rRNA from 1 species